rnacentral:lncRNA from 1 species
UCGUGCGCUGGGCGGCGGUGGGGUCUAGCCGCCGUCUGGGCGCUCCGCUGUCGGGUCGAAGGACCUAUAUAACGGAGGGGUCGCGCAAGAUAGUGAGCGCCAUCGUCUGGCGGAAACCCUAGUCGCCACAUCACGGCCUCCUCACACCAUCGACCUAUGCUUCCCAACUCGUUCCCUGUCUGAGGUGUUCUUGCUCAUUCAGAUCCGUCUGAGGUGUUCUUGCUCAUUCAGAUCCGUCUGAGGUGCCUGAUACUGCCUCGCAGGAUAAUCCAUCUGUUUCUUCGGUGCCGUAUAUUUAGUUGCGAUUUUGUUUUGGUUCUUUUUUGCUCUGCGUGGGUCGUUGCUGGAUAACACGGAUCGAUGAUGCUGUUCAAGAAGUACUGCGUUAUCUUCCUGAUGCAUGUGUUAGGCCCUCGUUACGAAGGCUUCCUGAUGACACAACUAUCUUGCUGAGAUCCAAGUGCGCAACUUCUCUUUUUUUCUUUCUUUUCCGUAUUCCACGCCGUCUGCUUUUUCUCCUCUGGAUUGAAUUUUGCGUACAGUUUUGUUUUGACCAAAUGCAAACGUAACUUACGGGGCAGGAUGGUUUCAUCAACGAAGUGAAGGAGAUUAUUCCGUCAACCGUAGGGUGCAGCUAAGAGCUUUAGAAUAUGAAAGACAUUAGUGGUAACAAUAUUUGAUUUGGUUAGGUGGUAGUACAAAAAUGAUAUUCGAUUUUAAUGCUGUUGGGGGUACUGCUAGUGAAUAGGACCGGGCAUCUAUCACGGUGUUGUACGUGUACGAAAUAAUG